AACAAUGCUCGGUAUCAAUUCAUUUUGAGCACUUAUUGUGUUUUUUCUAAACAAUAUACACUCUAACAUCUAUAAUUUUGCCACUUCAGAUAGUUGUCCAGUUAUUUUGACAUAAAUGGCUCACGUAAAUGCCGCAAAACUUGAGCCUGAAGGAUUGAGAAGGGCAAAGUGCUGAAAAAGGGCCAUAUUACACGGUCAAUUGGAAACUGAUUGAGUCUGUCCUUGAGCUGGAACACCAGAGCAGCAGACUUGAAUGACCAGAUGCAGAUCGAUGGCUGUCAGUGCAGUUUGAAGGAUUCAAGGACUCUAAUCGAUUCGAAGGACUUUUACGAAUCUAACAAGGCUAUUCCUUCCAGGAUAGGACGUAUUUUAAGCUAAAUAUAGCUAUAUUAAUUUAAAAUCAUUAACAGCGUAUUUGGGUUUCUGCGCUCUCAGUCCCAUUUAAGUAUGUACAUAUGUAUAUAUAUAUAUAUAUAUAUGUAUAUUUACAUAUGCAUGCAACGAUAAUGCGCUCUCUAGUGCCGAGUACAUGGCCAACAGUGCAAACUCAGCAUAAUUUGGCUAGCUACGGUCAAUAACUCGCUUGUGGCUGAUCAUGCAAAGCUCAUGGAAAUGUUUGCGUCAAUAUAUAAUUCUUGUUUGUCGUUCAUGUGCGCACAUAUAUAUGUCUAUGUACUUACAAUUGUGGACUGACUGACGGAUUGACUAACUGACGCCCAGCCCCAGACGUAUUGUACUGUACGUUUUCGAAAGGAAUUGUUAACGAACUCCAUUCGCAAUUUUGGGUAAUUCGAGAAAAGAUACUUUUUCUGCACGACUGUUGCAGCGAAAUUCUAAGUUUUGUUUCAUUAUCGACGAUAUAGCAAAAUAAUUCCAAAAUGAAUUCCACUCACAACUAUGGAAUAUUGGCGAAAAUAGUUAUGUGAAACAUUUUAUUUUAUCAUUCGCUUUAGUCAAUCGAAUUAAUUAUGUGAGACGUGUUGCGCGUUUUUUGAACAUAUUUUACAACGGGAAUCAAAUGAACGGAAAGCUUUAAGAGCUUUAAGCAUUAAGUACGUCGCUUAGCCCGGAAAAGGCCGGGUAAUACAUGCUACAGAUAUAUGUUGUUAUUUAUUGAACGAAGUGUUGCGAAAAUGAAUGUCAAGGCAUAACAUGACGACAACUUGAAAGCGAGCUUACGGAGUACGAUAACAGAACUUGAUUAUGUUUUGCUCUAGAACAAUUCCAGGUUUCCAAUAGCUCUUUCAGUUUGGAUGCGAAACCUGCGAAGUUCAGACUCCAUAAUAAUUAAAUGUGUUACACAUGCUUGUACUUUCUUGUUUUAAGCAGAAAACCAAAUAAACUUGAGAGAAAAAAAUAAAUAAAUAUACAAAUUUAAAUAUUGUGUAAAUUUAAAUCGUGCUAAUUGCGUAAAUUUAAAGCUUACUAUGGAUAAUGCCGCUGAGCGAUUCAGCAAAUUUGAACAGAAAAUGUUGGCUGGACUUAAUAAAAAUACAAACGAUAUAGAAAACCUCUACCGAAUCAUAAUAUGUGCCACUCUAAUCGUUCUUGUUAUUAUCACAAUACUAUUUUUUAUUAAUCUGGAGCCAGUUAGGAUUUGGCUGCACGCGCAUCGAAUUUGUGCAUGCUGUUUUCCCAGCAGAGCCCGCGAUGGAAAGAGAGAAUAUGACAAGCAAUAUAUUGCUGAGAUUGACGCAAAUUUGGAAAAAGGAAAUCCUUAUCCAGUGGACCCAGGUAUAUAUGCUGUCGCCAAGACGACGCCCUCACUUAUAGCAACAAGCAAAUGAUUAUCAUCAAAUGUACGAAUGUGGCCACAUUGACUAUGGGGGCCUGAAUUAACGACAUAAAUAUGUUACGUCUUAGGAGAUAAUAUUUUAAGAUUUAUGAAUAUACGAUACGCAUACGAUAGAAUA